AGUGAACGCUGGCGGUAGGCCUAACACAUGCAAGUCGAACGGCAGCACAGUAAGAGCUUGCUCUUACGGGUGGCGAGUGGCGGACGGGUGAGGAAUACAUCGGAAUCUACUUUUUCGUGGGGGAUAACGUAGGGAAACUUACGCUAAUACCGCAUACGACAUACGGGUGAAAGCAGGGGAUCUUCGGACCUUGCGCGAUUGAAUGAGCCGAUGUCGGAUUAGCUAGUUGGCGGGGUAAAGGCCCACCAAGGCGACGAUCCGUAGCUGCUCUGAGAGGAUGAUCAGCCACACUGGAACUGAGACACGCUCCAGACUCCUACGGGAGGCAGCAGUGGGGAAUAUUGGACAAUGGGCGCAAGCCUGAUCCAGCCAUACCGCGUGGGUGAAGAUGGCCUUCGGGUUGUAAAGCCCUUUUGUUGGGAAAGAAAAGCAGCAGGUUAAUACCCCGCUGUUCUGACGGUACCCAAAGAAUAAGCACCGGCUAACUUCGUG
rnacentral:rRNA from 1 species